UACGUAGGCAGCAAGCGUUGUUCGGAGUUACUGGGCGUAAAGCGUGCGUAGGUGGUGAGUUAAGUCUGUCGUGAAAGCCCCGGGCUUAACCUGGGAAUGGCAUUUGGGACUGCAAGGCUUGAGUGCGGCAGAGGAGACUGGAAUUCCUGGUGUAGCAGUGAAAUGCGUAGAUAUCAGGAGGAACACCGAUGGCGAAGGCAGGUCUCUGGGCUGACACUGACGCUCAUGCACGAAAGCGUGGGGAGCAAACAGG
rnacentral:rRNA from 1 species